UUGUUUGUUUUCUUGUUUGUGUCUCUGUUUUUUUUUCAAUGUUUUUAUUGAAUUUUUCAUGUUUUUUCAGAGCAUGCAUGCUAGUCUGGUCUCUCUGUCCAUGAUUUGUUGUCUUUUGGUUGGUUUUUCUAUUUUGCACAAUAAGAGGCAGAAUAGAUGAAGAGGGAAAGCAAGAGGCAGAGACAGAGCAAUGGCAAUCUAUAGUACUAUACAGAAUAUUUGGCAGGAAGCGUGGGAAUUCCUAAAUUGCGUUUGUUUUGUGUUUUUUUUACAGCCUUUGGGCUGUGGGUUAUGGUUACCGUCUUGUUUCAAUCAGUAAUGGGCCUGAUGGGAGCUUGAUUGGAAGCUUGGAACUCAUACGAAAUACUGAUACACAUGGUCCUGCUAUUCCUAGAAUUCGACUUUAUAUGAAGUAUGGUUUGUGUAUUGUUGCUUACACAUCGGUUCUUUUGUUUUUCACUUCGAAUGUGUUUUGGGUUUAAUCCUUAUGAAAAUGAUCGUUUCAUCUGAUUUUUGAUUGUUUGGUGUUUGAGUGUUCUGAUAUUUGGCUUAACUUUUGUGGAGGAUUUGAUUGAUUGUUUCAAAAGCUACUAGACACUGUAAGUCAGGGAUGUUCUGUUCUGUUGAAAAAUUGUAGAAAUGUAUUUUGGUUUGUUGUGCAUAGGAAUCCGGAUUACUGGUAUACCGUAUAGUUAGUUAGAUACCAUUCUGGGCUGAGGAUUUUAAUGAUUUGGGUAUGGUGGAUUAUGCCCUGACUUAUUUCUACAGUAACUCUGAUUUGGGUGGUUUUGAUGUAUUGGGUUCUGUUGGAUUGAUCUACUUGCAAAUGUAUUGAGUAUGUAUGGUGGUAUCUUUAUUUUAGUUAUGCUAGUUAAGACCAACAUGCUGAGAUGGUUCUAGGCCGAGUUAUAGAUGUGAUUGAGAUGCACUUUAAUCUUUUUUCCUAAAUCAUCUAGGGUUGAGCAAAGGACUGAUGAAGUGAGAUUGCAAAGCAUGCAUGAGACGGAGGACUGGGUGAAUGACAAUGACAAUUAAAGGGAUAGAAUGUCACAGGGACAUGCUCAUCCGCUUGAAAUCGAAGGCUCUACCUAUUUUUUUCUUCCCACCGAAUAGCCAUUCUUUACAUUAAAAACUGUGUUUUAUCUUAGUCCCAUAUUCUAAUUGUCUGCUUUUAUCUUAGUCUCAUAUGCAGACCAUUACUAUCAUAUAUAAACUGUCAUUUUGUUAAUUUUCACAUCAUUUAUGGGUGCAAAUCAAAGAUUGGAGUAGCCUUUUUCAAAUGCUUUGGCCCCCCUUUCUACUUGGCCAAACCACAUUAUGUCUGUGUGUCUUAUUCCUAACUUGAAAAUUAUUUGACAUUUUUUAUUUCCUGUGAUUGAGAAUUAUUUUAGACAUUUUUUCUUUCCUCUGAUUGAAAAUUAUUUUUGACAUUUUUUCUUUCCUGUGAUGGAAUAAUGGUAGAUUAUAUAUACAAGCAGUAAUAUAUAGAGGAUUAUUUUAAACGACAUCUAAACUGCGGAAAUCCUGCAAUUAUAUUUAACCUAUUCAAUCUCAUAGAUACUAUUGGGUUUCAUGAGGUAUACCAUAUCUGUGUUGGUCAUAUCCUCUUAGUUUUAACUUCUUUUUGUUACUGCCUGUGUAUUUUCUGUUCCUUGGCAUAGUCUGUGUAUAUGGGGAGCUGUAACUUGUAAACAUUUGUAUACCAUCUCUGUGUCGGUCAUAUCCUCUUAGUUUUAACUUCUAUUCGUUACUACUUGUGUGUAUUCUUCUGUUCCUUAGCAUUGCCUGUGUAUAUGUCACUAUGCAGGGUUUAGUGGUGUUUUCUGUCACAUCCCCGUCAGUUGCUUCGAGGGUGGAUUUUAUAAAGAAAUAGUAAACAUUAAGAAAAAAAAAAAGCAUAGUAAAUUGCCAACUUAAUGAGGCAUGAGCUUCGAUAUGGGCUGGCUAUUGGCAUUAAAUUGGAGAGGACGGGAGGUAUGGCGCAAGUCAGAGACUAGGGCAGACUUGCCAUCAUGGAGGAUGGCAUCCCAAUCCCACGAGGACGGUAGAUGAUUGGAUGCGUGGGAAAAGGUCCAGGGGCAGUGAAAACUCAGAGACAAACGCAAUUGGCAGUAAAAAGCCAAAUUCCAAAAGUUGUUUCCCAGACUAUCACUGCCCGUGCCUUAAUGUAAGACUUCGAAUAGGUGGAGUCUCUACCAGACUUAAAAAGGAGAGAAAAGAAUUGAUAAGGGAGAAUGGUGUGUGAAGUCUAGGGAGAGAGAACAAGCAGGAAUGGUGUGAAGAGAGGGACAAGAGGAGGCAGUGGGUGGAUCUGUUGGGUUACAGAAAUUUUCUAGAAAAUGCAAUCGGAUGUUGGUAUGUGUCUCUGUGUUUUUUUUUGGUCUCUAUUCUUUUUCAUUGCUUUGGAAUAGCCUUCAAAUUCUCAGUCAUCAUCAGGGAAACUAGUUUUUACGCCGAGAGGCAUUUUCAGUUGCAGAGAAUUUUUACUUUUAUUGGUACUUGUCAAUUAUAGGAGAAGCAUUCAUCUCAAAAAACACUGGGAAAAAGUAGUAUUGUCUUGGCCUGUCAUAUCUUGGUGGGUUUGCAACUAGAUAUUUGGUUCAUUGGUAUAGUGGAUUAUAAAAUUCUUCUGUUCUAUUUAUUUUCUUGAUUUUAGGUAAGAUUUGAUCUAUUUUCUCUCUCUGAGACUUGAAGUAUAUUGAAUUUGGAGGACUGUUUUCGUUUAUUUUUAUAAAAUCAAAAUCAACGCAUUUGGUUUUAUGAAUGCACAAUUUGCUGAAAUUCAAUUUUCCAAACUUGUGUAUAAUAAUUAUCCCGUGGCCUCUAGAUUUGGUCUGCUGGAUAAUAAUUAUUUGGGCACCAGGGAUGUGCAGUAUCACAGUACCCUCUGCCAUUUACAGAAAGAGCGAGUUUAUCAUAGAAAAUUAAAGGGGUUAUUCAUCUUGAUAUGGGAACCUGCAUUGCAUUCUGCCAAGGAACAUAUUUAAUGGGUCGACUCAAGAUUUGAUCAAGUGCAAUUGUGGAAGGUUUAAUGGGCAGUUUCUCGAGUUUCUGCCAAGAAAUAUUGUUCAACACGAGGUCUACUGCAGGGGAGAUUCAGGGCUUCUACAAGUACUUCAAAUCAAACCAAACUGGAGAGCCCAUGAAUAUUUUAUGCCCUAGAGACUCUGGUAUAAGUAAGAUUGUCAAUGCGGAUACUGAUCAAGCCUCCUGUAAAGAUGAAACCAAUCAGAGAAUUCAGGGGAAUUUAUCUACUUUUAGAGAAGAGACCUUCAGUACCACUUCACAAGGCCUUACUGUUAAGCUAGGUCUAGAUCAUAAAUCCCUAAGGAUUAAAUGGAAACGUGUUACAGUUGUAGCGGCAAUUCUGUUGAUUUUAGUUACUGGUUGAAAUAUCUACUUGGGGUGGCGUAAGGUACAAGAAAUGGAGAUGAUAAAACAGUACACCAGGAAUAAGCCUAGACAGAGGAGGAAGCAGAUUGAACAAAGUGUAACUCCUCCAACGCUUGGAAGCUUUGUCCAAUAUGUGGAUGCUACAUAUUCCAGGGAGGUACACAUUCAUCUAAUCAUUUCAUUAAAUCUUCCACACCGUGGUCUUGUUAUUUUUCAGCAUUUUGUUAAUGUUGUUAGGACAUUUGAUAUGAUUUAUUUGGGUAUUUUAAUAGAAGUCUUUCGCCAUUACCUGCACAUCUAACUUUUCAAUCUCCAAGUUCAGCGCAUUCUUUCUCAUGAUGUCUCUGUUAGCAGAUCAUAUAACACCCAAUUCUAAAUGCUUGUAUACAACUGUUACCCUGUUUCUCAUCUCCUUUUCUGAGUUUCUGUUAAAGCCACUGGAGCAGACAAAUUUAUUUAAUAAUAUUACCAGUAAAUUCGAUGUGGAUGUUGCUAUUUCAUAGGUUCUGGUAAUUCACAGGUUUUCAUUAGUCAAGUUUAUGUGUGUCAGUGAUCCGCAGGUCUCUAUUAAUAAAGUUCUUGAUUUCUCUUUCA